rnacentral:rRNA from 1 species
UGCAGAAUUCAGUGAAUCAUCGUAAUCUUUGAACGCACCUUGCGCUCCUUGGUAUUCCGAGGAGCAUGCCUGUUUGAGUGUCAUU